rnacentral:rRNA from 1 species
UUAAGCGACUAAGCGUACACGGUGGAUGCCCUGGCAGUCAGAGGCGAUGAAGGACGUGCUAAUCUGCGAAAAGCGUCGGUAAGGUGAUAUGAACCGUUACAGCCGGCGAUGUCCGAAUGGGGAAACCCAGUGCAAUUCGUUGCACUAUCGUUAACUGAAUACAUAGGUUAGCGAGGCGAACCGGGGAACUGAAACAUCUAAGUACCCCGAGGAAAAGAAAUCAACCGAGAUUCCCCCAGUAGCGGCGAGCGAACGGGGAGCAGCCCAGAGUCUGAAUCAGCUUGUGUGUUAGUGGAACGGUCUGGAAAGUCCGACGGUACAGGGUGAUAGUCCCGUACACCAAAAUGCACAGGUUGUGAACUCGAAGAGUAGGGCGGGACACGUGGUAUCCUGUCUGAAUAUGGGGGGACCAUCCUCCAAGGCUAAAUACUCCUGACUGACCGAUAGUGAACCAGUACCGUGAGGGAAAGGCGAAAAGAACCCCGGCGAGGGGAGUGAAAAAGAACCUGAAACCGUGUACGUACAAGCAGUGGGAAGCACCUUCGGGUGUGACUGCGUACCUUUUGUAUAAUGGGUCAGCGACUUAUAUUCUGUAGCAAGGUUAACCGUAUAGGGGAGCCGCAGGGAAACCGAGUCUUAACUGGGCGUUAAGUUGCAGGGUAUAGACCCGAAACCCGGUGAUCUAGCCAUGGGCAGGUUGAAGGUUGGGUAACACUAACUGGAGGACCGAACCGACUAAUGUUGAAAAAUUAGCGGAUGACUUGUGGCUGGGGGGUGAAAGGCCAAUCAAACCGGGAGAUAGCUGGUUCUCCCCGAAAGCUAUUUAGGUAGCGCCUCGUGAACUCAUCUUCGGGGGUAGAGCACUGUUUCGGCUAGGGGGUCAUCCCGACUUACCAACCCGAUGCAAACUACGAAUACCGAAGAAUGUUAUCACGGGAGACACACGGCGGGUGCUAACGUCCGUCGUGAAGAGGGAAACAACCCAGACCGCCAGCUAAGGUCCCAAAGUCAUGGUUAAGUGGGAAACGAUGUGGGAAGGCACAGACAGCCAGGAUGUUGGCUUAGAAGCAGCCAUCAUUUAAAGAAAGCGUAAUAGCUCACUGGUCGAGUCGGCCUGCGCGGAAGAUGUAACGGGGCUAAACCAUGCACCGAAGCUGCGGCAGCGACACUAUGUGUUGUUGGGUAGGGGAGCGUUCUGUAAGCCUGCGAAGGUGACCUGUGAGGGUUGCUGGAGGUAUCAGAAGUGCGAAUGCUGACAUAAGUAACGAUAAAGCGGGUGAAAAACCCGCUCGCCGGAAGACCAAGGGUUCCUGUCCAACCGUUAAUCGGGGCAGGGUGAGUCGACCCCUAAGGCGAGGCCGAAAGGCGUAGUCGAUGGGAAACAGGUUAAUAUUCCUGUACUUGGUGUUACUGCGAAGGGGGGACGGAGAAGGCUAUGUUAGCCGGGCGACGGUUGUCCCGGUUUAAGCAUGUAGGCUGGUUGUCCAGGCAAAUCCGGAUAAUCAAGGCUGAGGUGUGAUGACGAGGCACUACGGUGCUGAAGUAACAAAUGCCCUGCUUCCAGGAAAAGCCUCUAAGCAUCAGGUAACAUUAAAUCGUACCCCCAAACCGACACAGGUGGUCAGGUAGAGAAUACCAAGGCGCUUGAGAGAACUCGGGUGAAGGAACUAGGCAAAAUGGUGCCGUAACUUCGGGAGAAGGCACGCUGGUGUGUAGGUGAAGCCCCUGCGGGUGGAGCUGAGACCAGUCGAAGAUACCAGCUGGCUGCAACUGUUUAUUAAAAACACAGCACUGUGCAAACACGAAAGUGGACGUAUACGGUGUGACGCCUGCCCGGUGCCGGAAGGUUAAUUGAUGGGGUUAUCCGUAAGGAGAAGCUCUUGAUCGAAGCCCCGGUAAACGGCGGCCGUAACUAUAACGGUCCUAAGGUAGCGAAAUUCCUUGUCGGGUAAGUUCCGACCUGCACGAAUGGCGUAAUGAUGGCCAGGCUGUCUCCACCCGAGACUCAGUGAAAUUGAACUCGCUGUGAAGAUGCAGUGUACCCGCGGCAAGACGGAAAGACCCCGUGAACCUUUACUAUAGCUUGACACUGAACAUUGAGCCUUGAUGUGUAGGAUAGGUGGGAGGCUUUGAAGCGUGGACGCCAGUCUGCGUGGAGCCAACCUUGAAAUACCACCCUUUAAUGUUUGAUGUUCUAACGUUGGCCCCUUACCGGGGUUGCGGACAGUGUCUGGUGGGUAGUUUGACUGGGGCGGUCUCCCUCCCAAAGCGUAACGGAGGAGCACGAAGGUUAGCUAAUCCUGGUCGGACAUCAGGAGGUUAGUGCAAUGGCAUAAGCUAGCUUGACUGCGAGCGUGACGGCGCGAGCAGGUGCGAAAGCAGGUCAUAGUGAUCCGGUGGUUCUGAAUGGAAGGGCCAUCGCUCAACGGAUAAAAGGUACUCCGGGGAUAACAGGCUGAUACCGCCCAAGAGUUCAUAUCGACGGCGGUGUUUGGCACCUCGAUGUCGGCUCAUCACAUCCUGGGGCUGAAGUAGGUCCCAAGGGUAUGGCUGUUCGCCAUUUAAAGUGGUACGCGAGCUGGGUUUAGAACGUCGUGAGACAGUUCGGUCCCUAUCUGCCGUGGGCGCUGGAGAAUUGAGGGGGGGCUGCUCCUAGUACGAGAGGACCGGAGUGGACGCAUCACUGGUGUUCGGGUUGUCAUGCCAAUGGCACUGCCCGGUAGCUAAAUGCGGAAGAGAUAAGUGCUGAAAGCAUCUAAGCACGAAACUUGCCCCGAGAUGAGUUCUCCCUGAGACUUUAAGUCUCCUGAAGGAACGUUGAAGACGACGACGUUGAUAGGCCGGGUGUGUAAGCGCAGCGAUGCGUUGAGCUAACCGGUACUAAUGAACCGUGAGGCUUAACCUU